rnacentral:rRNA from 1 species
AGUGAACGCUGGCGGUAGGCCUAACACAUGCAAGUCGAACGGCAGCACAGUAAGAGCUUGCUCUUACGGGUGGCGAGUGGCGGACGGGUGAGGAAUACAUCGGAAUCUACUUUUUCGUGGGGGAUAACGUAGGGAAACUUACGCUAAUACCGCAUACGACCUACGGGUGAAAGCAGGGGAUCUUCGGACCUUGCGCGAUUGAAUGAGCCGAUGUCGUAUUAGCUAGUUGGCGGGGUAAAGGCCCACCAAGGCGACGAUCCGUAGCUGGUCUGAGAGGAUGGUCGGCGACACUGGAACUGAGCCACGGUCCAGACUCCUACGGGAGGCAGCAGUGGGGAAUAUUAGACAAUGGGCGCAAGCCUGAUCCAGCCAUACCGCGUGGGUGAAGAAGGCCUUCGGGUUGUAAAGCCCUUUUGUUGGGAAAGAAAAGCAGCAGGUUAAUACCCCGCUGUUCUGACGGUACCCAAAGAAUAAGCACCGGCUAACUUCGUG